CCCACCCCGUGCACACCUGCACCCAACCGCGCCUCGUCCUCCCGCCAGCUUCCCAGGCGCUCGCUGGACCCGAAGUCCGCGCCGCUGCUCUGGCUCUCCUCCUCCGGGGGCAGGUCUGCGGACUGGAAUCACACGGACUCAGAGAGGCAGGGCCCCUGGCCUGCCAGGGUCCUUCUAGGAUGGGGCGAGGGGCCCCACGUGUCCUCCCGGCCGGCCUGGCGAAUCCCAGGCAGAGUUCACGAUUCCCUCCUCCAGUUAACUCCCCUGACCUCCACCAACGGACCUCAGGAUGUUCACCGCCCCCAGCGGCACGGAGCCCUUCAGGUCAGCAUUCCUCAAUAUGUGGCUCCUAGCUCUGAACUUACAGUUCCACCUGAGGCCUCAGCACUGCCAACAACAGCAUCAGCAUCACCACCGGAGAUCUGGAUUCCUACCUCUAGUAAUACAGCCAAAUUCUGUACUCAGUGUUGGCUCCUAGGGAAUUGAGGGUCAAGAAGCCCCAGGCUGUUUCCAGGUGAACAGCUGUCAGAGGGAGCCUGUCCCAUCUCUAUUGUGGAUAUUUUGAACCUAAAAAAUGGUAGACUCUUUGAUUUUUACCUUCUGGUUUUAGCCUGUCAUUCUAGCCUGAAACUCCUGCUCAGGUAUUUCCUUUUCUUCCUGCCUCCCUUGAAAUGGGACAUACCUCUAGGAUGUGCCCCCCAGCCGGACCUGGAGAGUCCUUCUGCAGGGCCAACCCCACAGGCUGGAUUUGCAUACUUAAGACUAUUUCUUCAGCAGCCCAUCUGCCAUAAGCCGUAAGUAUACGCCAGUAAGUGGAGCCUCAUCUGCAAGGAGGGCCACUUACACUCUGAUGUCCCAUCCACAGUGGGCACAGCUGCUCUGCAUAAUGGCUGACCAGCCCAUCCCCCCACCAGCCCUGGAGGCCCCAGGCUCUGCUUACCACCUCCUGGAUGCCCUCACUAAUGGCCUUGUGCCAGGUGCUGAUGAUGGCCUCGGAGUCGUGCUGGAUCAAGUACUCUGAGCCAUCUCGGCUCUGCAGCUGGAGAGACACAAGUCACUCAGUAAUCUUUGAUUCCCUGGGUCUGCCCUGGGGCCAGGCCUCAGUGGUGGGCGGUGGGCGUGGGGGGAGCUACAGAAAUGGUGGAGAUGAUCUGUCCUUGUCCCUCAGGAAUGGAGAGCAUAAUAGAGCAAGGGCUUCACCCCAGGUCAAGGCAUUCUGCAUCAUUAAAAGCAAUAAGUGACAGCAUAUCUGUUACAGAUUGCAAAUUGAGGACCUCUUAAAACAUAAUCAGUUCAUAUCUGAAAGUUUUGUACAGAAGGAAAAGCUAUAUAGCCACCUAUAGUUAUAGCUUUGGGAGGACUAAAACUGAAGUUUUCUGUGGCUCUGAAGUGACUAGGAAGACUCGCUGGGAAAAUCUGCAAGGCCCAACUAACCUGGCCAUGAUAGACAAUGUGGGACUCUUUUUUUUUUUUUUUAAGAUUUUAUUUAUUUAUUUGAGAUAGGGAUGGAGGAAGAUAGAUAGCAUGAGAGGGGGUAGGGAGAGGAGGAGGAGCAGAGGGAGAGGGAGGAGCAAGCACUCCACUGAGCAUGGAGCCCGACUUGGAACUUGAUCCCAGGGCCCUGGGACCAUGACCUGAGCCAAAGUCAGAUGUGUAACCGACUGAGCCACCCAGAUGCCCCUGUGAGGCUCCUAAGAAAAAUCCUAGAGGUGCCUGCAGGCCACUGCCUGAGUGAAGGGAGGAUGGCCACCUGCCAGCCAGGAAGCAGGGGGCUCCUCCAUUUCCAUUCAAGACUUUCAGCCUUUCCAACAUCUUGAGUAGCUUCCAAGAGUACCAUCUGCCUUCUGGUUCUUGCCAGAAAACACAACGUAUAAGCAUUUACUCAGAAUCGUUCUCCAAAGGCAAGACAAAGAGAUGACAUUUAUAGAGCAGUGGCCGAAGGAUGUCCCUCUAGGUCAGGGAAGGGACACGCCUAGCAAAAGUGAUGUCCAUCUUCAAUCUGACACCUGUGACAACCAUUGCUAAUGGAUCACAGCACUUGACCCUGCUGGGCCUGGAUAAGGCUCCAGACUUACUGAUCAGAGCAGCUCAUGAGACCAAACUGGUUUUCCAGCCCUGCUCUGUGGAUAAGCUGGUUCUAGAACUGAAGGAAGCUUGGUGAAUCUUCACAAAACUACCCUUUCAAGCGCAUUGUGGAAUUGCUUUUUCUGAGACGAAUUGACUGGUUAUGCCGUUGAAGCAGCUCCGAGGGUCCCUUACUAAACUAGACUGGAGCUGUACAUAAAAAUUGCUUCAAGAGCUAAGGGUUAGGAAAAGCUUUGGUUUUGCUCAGAAUUUGGCAAAGUCCCUCCUCCAGCCCCAUAAUAAGAGCCAUGUAACUGAUCCCCCUUCUCUUUUCACUUUGGGUACCAGGAAAGCUGAACAAUUUUUUUUCAGCAACAACCCAGCAUCUGUACAUCAUCUGCCCCCAAUCCCUGUCCACGCUGCUUGCUGGAACUUGUGCCUCGUCCUGGCUUCUCAUUCUUAAACAGCUUACCUUA